rnacentral:rRNA from 1 species
CCUACGGGUGGCUGCAGUGGGGAAUAUUGGACAAUGGGCGCAAGCCUGAUCCAGCAAUACCGCGUGUGUGAAGAAGGCCUUAGGGUUGUAAAGCACUUUCAAUGGGGAGGAAAACCUACCGGUCAAUACCCGGUAGCUUGACAUUACCUGUAGAAGAAGCACCGGCUAACUCCGUGCCAGCAGCCGCGGUAAUACGGAGGGUGCAAGCGGUAAGUGGAAUGUGCGGGGGCGGUUCGUUAGGUCAGAUGUGAAAGCCCCGGGCUUAACCUGGGAACUGCAUUUGAAACUGGCGGACUAGAGUUGAGUAGAGGGGAGUGGAAUUUCAGGUGUAGCGGUGAAAUGCGUAGAUAUCUGAAGGAACACCAGUGGCGAAGGCGACUCCCUGGACUCAAACUGACGCUGAGGUACGAACGCGUGGGUAGCAAACAGGAUUAGAUACCCCAGUAGUC